UAGGGAAUCUUCCGCAAUGGACGAAAGUCUGACGGAGCAACGCCGCGUGAGUGUAGAAGGAUUUCGGUUCGUAAAACUCUGUUGUUAGGGAAGAAAAAAUGUAUAGUAACUAUAUACAAAAGAGACGGUACCUAACCAGAAAGCCACGGCUAACUACGUGCCAGCAGCCGCGGUAAUACGUAGGUGGCAAGCGUUGUCCGGAAUUAUUGGGCGUAAAGCGCGCGCAGGUGGUUUAGAAAGUCUGAUGUGAAAGCCCACGGCUCAACCGUGGAGGGUCAUUGGAAACUAAUAAACUUGAGUGCAGGAGAGAAAAGUGGAAUUCCUAGUGUAGCGGUGAAAUGCGUAGAGAUUAGGAGGAACACCGGUGGCGAAAGCGGCUUUUUGGCCUGCAACUGACACUGAGGCGCGAAAGCGUGGGGAGCAAACAGG
rnacentral:rRNA from 1 species